rnacentral:rRNA from 1 species
UACGAAGGGGACUAGCGUUGUUCGGAAUUACUGGGCGUAAAGCGCACGUAGGCGGAUUUGUAAGUCAGGGGUGAAAUACCUGGGCUCAACCCGGGAACUGCAGUUGAAACCGCUUGUCUUGAAUACCUGAGAGGGUGGGGGAAUACCUGGUGGAGAAGUGAAAUUCGUAGAGAUCAGGUGGAACACCGGAGGCGAAGGCGCCUGCCUGGCAGUGUAUUGACGCUGAGGUGCGAAAGUGCGGGGAGCAAACAGG